rnacentral:rRNA from 1 species
AAUUAUUAUUAUUAAUUUUUAAUUAGAAGUGAAAUAUUAAACGAUUUUAAAUAUAUCUAGUUUUUUUAGAAUUGAAUUAAAUUCAGCUUUAAAAUUUUUUGAAAUAAAUUAAAUAAAUUUAUUUAUGAAUUAAAUAUUUUAAAGUAAAUAUAUUCGGGAUAAAUUGAUUAUAUGAGUUAUAAAUUAAUUUUAAUUUAUUUUAAAAGUAAUUAUAAAAUUAUAUUUCUUUUUAAAAAAUGUUUUAAUUUAUAUUUUUAAAUUUAUAUAGUAUAAUUUAAUUUUUAUUUUAAUAAUUUAUAAAAAUUUAAUGUUAAAUUAUUUUAUUUUAAAUAUAAUGAUUAUAUAAGUAAAUAUUAAUAGAAUGAAAUAAAUAAUUAUAAAAUUUUAAAAUUUAGAUUUAAGGAAUUAGGCAAAUAUUUUUAAAAUAAAAAUUUAUAUUUACCUGUUUAUCAAAAACAUGUCUUAUUGAUUUAAAUAAUAAGUUUAUUCUGCCCAUUGAAAUAAGAAAUUUUAAAAGGCUGCAGUAUAUUAACUGUACAAAGGUAGCAAAAUAAAUAGUUUUUUAAUUGAAAACUUGAAUGAAAGAAUUAAUAAAAUAUAUUCUGUCUCAAAUUUAAUUGAUUUAUUAAAUUUAAAUAAAAAGUUAAAAUGCUUUUAUAAUUUUAUUAGACGAUAAGACCCUAAGAAUUUAAUAAUUUUAUUUUAUUAAUUAAAUUUUAUAAUUAAUUAAUUAAUAAAAUAAAAUUUUUUUAUUGGGAGGGUAAUUAAAUUUUUAAACUUUAAUUUUUAAUAAA